rnacentral:lncRNA from 1 species
AACAGAUAUUAUAAUUAAACGGAAUAUCAAAGGAUUUCAUAACACCUCAUUGAGGUAUUAUUACAUGUAGAAUAAAUAAUUGUUUCUCAAUAUAAAUAUGUACAUUUAUACAACAAUACAGCAAUCAAACUUUUUAAGGUGACAACCGUAAUUUUGAGUCAUAGCAUCAAGACAAUUUUUGUUCGUGGGCUGAUUAUGGCUAUAUAUAUCGCUACAUUUGAAUUUAAAAUGGGAGAAGUUAUGUAUGGUAGCAAUGGCCAUGGGUGUUUAUAUAUCUGAUCUAUUUUCAUAGUAUGAUUUUUUCUUCCAUAUCUAACCAUUGUGUAAAAUACAUUUUUUUCACUCAUUCAAAUUCAAAUUCAUCUUUAGAUCAUCAUGAUUAUGUUUUGGUACAUCAUUUGAAUUUGUAAUAUGCAUGCUUUUCAAUGGAAAUUGUAAUACUCUAAAAUCAAAUGGUAUAGGUAUGUUGCUCAUUGUUAAAGGCCGUACAGUGGCCUAUAGUUGUUAAUUUCUGUGUCAUUUUGGUCUCUUGUGGACAGUUGUCUCAUUGGCAAUCAUACCACAUCUUCUUUUUUAUAUGUAUAUUGUCAUAUUACUUUAGGUCCCCUCAUGUAAUUAUUUACAUUAAAUGCAAACUGUCCUAUAUCAAUACCAUCACCAAGACAAAUAUCUGACAUACUACUUCAUAACAUUCAUUCAUAUUAAAGAAAAAAUAUAAUGAACAUACAACCGUAUACAUUUAAACUGUUGUAAAAACAUACAUGGGACCCAGGGAGGGAUCUUAUCAAACGUUAACUCAACUACAUGUGGGUGUCAACUAUAUUUUGUACAAUGAUAUUUGAAUGUGCCUUCCCUGGGUACCAUGUAUGUUUUAAUGAGACAGCAUUAAAAUUCUAAUAAAAGUUUUGACUAGAUAGCAAAUCAACAUUAAAAUCACAUGUUUUCAUGCCUGAGGUAGCUGGACGGAAAGUUCAAUCAAGCUGAAGGAAGCUUUUGAUUUUACUUAAUUACAAUGUAUAUACAAUCAGCAAUUAACUUAAAACUACUUUUUGGCUGCCGAUUUUCACAUGGAUUUGAGACAUUCGACAACCACAUGCAAAUCACUGAUGAUCAACCUGUUCAUUGAUUAUUUUUAAGAAAUUUUGAAAAAAGCAUAGCUUACUACAUAAGUUGUACACAUCAUUAAUUUUAUAC